AAUUCUGGACAAUGGGAGAAAGUCUGAUCCAGCCACGCCGCGUGUGUGAAGAAGGUCUUCGGAUUGUAAAGCACUUUAAGUUGGGAGGAAGGGCAGUAAGUUAAUACUUUUCUGGUUUGACGUUACCGACAGUACAAGCCCCGGCUAACUUCGUUCACGCACCCGCGGUAAAACGAAGGGCGCAAGCGUUAAUCGGAAUUACUGAGCGUAAAGGGCGCGUAGGUGGUUUGUUAAGUUGGAAGUGAAAGCCCCGGGCUCAACCUGGGAACUGCUUUCAAAACUGGCAAGCUAGAGUAUGGCAGAGGGUGGUGGAAUUUCCUGUGUAGCGGUGAAAUGCGUAGAUAUAGGAAGGAACACCAGUGGCGAAGGCGACCACCUGGGCUAAUACUGACACUGAGGUGCGAAAGCGUGGGGAGCAAACA
rnacentral:rRNA from 1 species